UACGUAGGGGGCAAGCGUUGUCCGGAUUUAUUGGGCGUAAAGAGCGUGUAGGCGGCCAGGUAGGUCAGCUGUGAAAACUCGAGGCUCAACCUCGAGACGCCGGUUGAAACCAUCUGGCUAGAGUCCGGAAGAGGAGAGUGGAAUUCCUGGUGUAGCGGUGAAAUGCGCAGAUAUCAGGAAGAACACCCGUGGCUAAGGCGGCUCUCUAGUACGGUACUGACGUUGAGACGCGAAAGCGUGGGGAGCGAACAGG
rnacentral:rRNA from 1 species